rnacentral:piRNA from 1 species
UGAUAGGAGCACAGUGUCCGCUGCGAAGGGU